GUCUUUCGAGGUAAGGGAUGUUAUUUUCUUCUCUAAUGAUAUAAUUUCUUCAAUAUCAUUAUGCUGAAAUAUUGGUUGGAAUUUUUUUUUAUCAAAUUUGGAACUUUUUCAUGUCGGGGUUACUAUUCAUGAGUUACUAUUCACGAGUUACUAUUCACGAGUACUAUUCACGAAGCGUGAAGAUGUUUUUUGUGAAAUUUCUAUCUUUUGGUGUCGGAGUUACUAUUCAC
rnacentral:lncRNA from 1 species